GAGUUUGAUCAUGGCUCAGGAUGAACGCUGGCGGCGUGCCUAAUACAUGCAAGUCGAGCGAACAGACGGGGAGCUUGCUCCCCUGACGUUAGCGGCGGACGGGUGAGUAACACGUGGGUAACCUACCUAUAAGACUGGAAUAACUCCGGGAAACCGGGGCUAAUGCCGGAUAACAUGUUGGACCGCAUGGUCCUACAGUGAAAGACGGUCUUGCUGUCACUUAUAGGUGGACCCGCGCCGUAUUAGCUAGUUGGUAAGGUACGGCUUGCCAAGGCAACGAUACGUAGCCGACCUGAGAGGGUGAUCGGCCACACUGGAACUGAGACACGGUCCAGACUCCUACGGGAGGCAGCAGUAGGGAAUCUUCCGCAAUGGGCGAAAGCCUGACGGAGCAACGCCGCGUGAGUGAUGAAGGCC
rnacentral:rRNA from 1 species